rnacentral:misc_RNA from 1 species
GAUGAAGAACGCAGCGAAAUGCGAUACGUAGUGUGAAUUGCAGAAUUCAGUGAAUCAUCGAAUCUUUGAACGCACAUUGCACCUCUCGGUAUUCCGGGAGGUAUGCCUGUUCGAGCGUCAUUUACCCCCUCAAGCUCCGCUUGGUGUUGGGCGUCUGUCCCGCUUCGCGCGCGGACUCGCCCCAAAGGUAUUGGCAGCGGUCGUGCCAGCUUCUCGCGCAGCACAUUGCGCUUCUCGAGGCACCGGUGGGCCCGCGUCCAUCAAGCUCACCCCCCCAGUUUGACCUCGGAUCAGGUAGGGAUACCCGCUGAACUUAAGCAUAUCAAUAAGCGGAGGA